CCUCGUCACCUGCUCCUAGGUCGCCCCCGAAGUCGAGCUCCCCACGCUCGACCUGCAAGAUGUACUGUGGACAAGAACUGCUCUCUGCCGCAUGAGUAGAUUGGAAAGGCAAGGCGCAAGGAGCGAUUGGAAAGGCUGCUGCUGCUCCUGGACGAUGCAACUCCUGAUACCACUACCUCUUGUCGAUUCGGGCAUGAGCACAUUCUUGGAGUGGAUCUGCAUUUCAAAUAGUUUACAAGUGGGAGUACAUGGAUUACUACAGAUUAAAUCGAGGGGAAGAUGGUCCCUGC